UACGUAGGGUGCAAGCGUUGUCCGGAAUUAUUGGGCGUAAAGAGCUCGUAGGCGGUCUGUCGCGUCGGCUGUGAAAACUCGGGGCUCAACCCCGAGCCUGCAGUCGAUACGGGCAGACUAGAGUGCUGUAGGGGAGACUGGAAUUCCUGGUGUAGCGGUGAAAUGCGCAGAUAUCAGGAGGAACACCGGUGGCGAAGGCGGGUCUCUGGGCAGUAACUGACGCUGAGGAGCGAAAGCGUGGGGAGCGAACAGGAUUAGAUACCCUGGUAGUCCACGCCGUAAACGGUGGGUGCAAGGUGUGAGCGGUAUUCCACGCCGUUCGUGCCGCAGCUAACGCAUUAAGCACCCCGCCUGGGGAGUACGGCCGCAAGGCUAAA
rnacentral:rRNA from 1 species